AUACGUAGGGGGCUAGCGUUAUCCGGAUUUACUGGGCGUAAAGGGUGCGUAGGUGGUUUCUUAAGUCAGGAGUGAAAGGCUACGGCUCAACCGUAGUAAGCUCUUGAAACUGGGAAACUUGAGUUUUUUUGCAGGAGAGGAAAGUGGAAUUCCUAGUGUAGCGGUGAAAUGCGUAGAUAUUAGGAGGAACACCAGUAGCGAAGGCGGCUUUCUGGACUGUAACUGACACUGAGGCACGAAAGCGUGGGGAGC
rnacentral:rRNA from 1 species